CUGGAAAUUAGUGAUCUACAGAAAAGUGACACGGCUUCCUACUACUGCUUGAAAGUCAACAGAACUAACAUGACCUUUUUAAAUGCAACAUUUAUUCAUAUCACAGGAUUAGGACGAAUAAGUGGUUUUGCCACAAAGCUGGUCUACAAACACUCGAUGAAACGUCCAGUCGUGUCCAGCAGAGAGACGAGGGCUCUUUGGUUUAUGCCGUGCCGACCAUCGUCACCAGGAAAGCCGGUAAAGCGAGGCAGACAAAUACGAGGGCAGCACAGGAAUUCAGCACG